UUUUUUUUUUUUGCGGUGAUGAAUUUAGUUAAAUUAAUUUUUUGUAAAUGAAUUUUUAGAAUUUUAAUGUAUUAUCACUGUUCUAGGGUUCAUAAUGUACCUAGGAAUCAAAUUUGGAGUGUAUGAACCCUAGGAUCAAAUUCAAAAAAAGUCGUAGAAUGCUCUAGGGUAUAUGAACCCUAUAUGAAAUUUGACAAGUGCUAAAUUUACUAUCAAAUUUGACAAGUGCUGAAUUUAGUUUCAAAUAUUAUGAAGAAAAAUGACUUCUUGCAAUCCACUAGCUAGCUUGCAUUUUUCUUCAAGUUCUAUAUUUUUCUUCCUGGUAUAUGCAAAUUUGAAAUUGACAUGUGAUAUGUGGACAUGUGAUUUGGACAUGUGAUAUUUGGAAAAUGAUGGUUAUGUGCGGGGUAAAUGAUCCAAGUGGCCUAUGUUUCCGCGGAAUGUUGAUUCAUUUCCGUUCCGGUGAAUUUUAGGCACUUUAUAUGUCCAUGUUUUAGCAAAGGCCAUGCCAAAAUUUCUCGUGAAAUUCUGCAUGACUUGUGCUAGAAAGUAGGCAUAUCAAGUGCCGGGAUUCACUGUAACCGGAAUGAAACGACAUUCCGGUAAACCAUAGACCUCUUUUUAUGUCAUUACUCAUUUUAUUAUAGUUUAAGAAUUAAACUAUGAGACUUAAUCAUAGGAAAUAUGUCGAACAACGAAGAAACCGGGCCUUCUGACCAUGGUGCAGACGAGAUGGAUUAUGACCAUCAACAUAAGUGGCUCAACUUUUUGUCUCGUAAGCACAAUCAAGGUUUGCAGGGCGGCCACGAUGAUGGUACUAACGCCGACAUCGACACCGAUGGCACCGACACCGAUGACGGUGGUGUGAUUGGCGGGAAAGGCACCGGUGCCGAAGCCGCUAACGAAAAGAAGAAGCAGAGGACACGAAAACCUAACAAACUCGGCAUCGGAAGACUGCUGGUCACAAAGAUGCACCCCGACAAAUUUGAGCCGAUAGAGUCGGAUGAACCUCGCAAGUGCUACAAGAACCAAGUCGGAUGCAUCCUACGGGAAACCGCGAGCAUCAACGACAAUGACUUAAGGAGUAAACAAAUUGGGAGCACUUGCUCCCAAACGAAGCUGCACAAGAGUUUCCAGUUCCCCGAACGGAAUGACCGCAUUGAAGAGCCGUGGGAUGAUCCUGCCAUGAAAAAGAUUAACAACCACACCAUGGGCAUGUUCAACAAUGAUUUGGCCUCUUAGAAAGGGAGGGUGAAAUGAGCUAUCGAGGCUAAUGAACCCCUGUCCAAGAUUCUGGAGGAAAAUCCGACACUUACGGAAGAGGAGUUCCAAAAGUUCAAGGACACUUGCGCUACCGACGCAACCAAGGCUAAGUCGGAGAAAUUCAAGGGGCUUCAGCAAAGGAACAUGGGGAACCAACGCCUCGGAAGCUGUGUCUACCUUGGCAAAAGACCCAUAUGGGAUAAGGAGGACGCGGAACGUGAAGCCGCGGGGAUCCCAGACCCCUUUGUGCAAUUCACCGACCCCUUGGAGCGUGACUUCAUUAGGGCCCAGUACAAGUGGGACAAGGAAAAGAAGGUUUUUUACAUGGACCCGAUCACGACAAAAUUGAUUCGAAUACUGGUAAUUAUUCUUUUACCACCUUACAUUUAGCUUUUGAUCAAGUCGACUACACAUUCGUAAAUGGUUCACGUUCCUUUUGUGGGAGAAGCAACACAUGCUUGCAGCCGAAAGCGAGUCUUCAUUGAUGAGGUCCAAGUGGGACACCCCUCUCAACCGGACCUUGAACGACCUGAAGGGACUCCCUUUGGACCAGCCGCCGCAAUAUGGACGUGUGCACGGCAUCGGAUAUGGCGCCACGUGGAAGGUCUAUUACAACGAGGGCCCGGAGGCCAAGAAGUAGAAACAAAAGUUCAGUCAGGCGGACAUCGGCGCGAAGGUGAAGCUUGCGUUCGACAAAAAAGCUGUUGAGGAUGAGAAAAAAGCAGCUCAGGAGAAAAAUGAGUUGGUCCAACAGGCAGUCGCUGCAGCUUUAGCUGCCUGCAGAAAUGAUUUGGCUACUAACUUGAUCCUAACUGUCAUCAAUUGGAUGAAGGAAAAUCCAGAAAAGAUGGCACAUGAUUUUCCCAUGCCCAGCUUCGUCGGGAGCAACUCGGUGAACAUCACAAUGACACCAUCACCUGCUCUCGCAACCGUGCCAGCUCCCGCACCUGCACCCACACCAGCUCAUAGCAGCGUGUCCUCUGUCUCUAGCGUGCUAGGAGGGCCUUCAUCUUUGGCUAUGCUUGACGCCCUCACGAUAACUACACGUUGCACCAACAUAUAUCUAGAAUAUUCCGUUUUCGUUGCCUUUCGGAUGUUUUACGCCGCAGACAUGUCUUUGUAGGCCGACGAAACCCCAUGCACCGUACUCUACGUGAUCAAAGGCCAGAAGGUGGACGUGGGAAAGGCAGUGAUAAUGAAGCCCUUGGAACUCAUGUUCCAGGGCAAGCCGAUCCCCGUUGGCACCUUCAGGGUUAACUUGUCGAGUGUGAAAUCGGGGCACGAGGAUUUGCCUCCUCUAGUACGGCUCGGGGGAGAGGAGGACGAGACCCCGAUGCGGCUUGGAAACUACAAGGGUUGGAUGUUGCUAUGGCCGAAGAAUCUUCUUCGUCUGGAGACAGCCGAGAGCACACCAAUAACCACACAUCAGCAAGCAGGUAUGAACACCACCACCCCGCCUACGCAAUUACCAGCGCCUGUAGUGCCGGGUGAGAACGAUAGACAACGCGAGGAAGGGGGUCCAGUAGUGGAUGAUGUAGUCGCCCCCGUAUAAUAAAGAAUGGAUGAUGAGAUGGACGAGGAUGACCCUCUUCGGUUCCUCAAUAUAGGUGCCUAUGACAACGACGUAGAAAUGAUGAGUCAGCCAUAUGACUCGGGCUAUCAGCAUGCUGAUGAGGAGAUGGAUGAUGUGCCCGGGAAGGAACAUCCUAGGGUUGAUUGCAAGAAGUCUCUUCAAGCAAUCCUCACAGGACACGCUUGAAGAUGCCGCCUUAACGCAAUGUCAACUAGCCAAGGGUCAUACAAUGCUUAGCCCGACAACACUGGUGGCGGGGUUAAGGAAGGGUCUGGAAGGUCAUCCCAAUAAAAAGGAGAGGAAGAUACCAUCGAAGAAAAGCUCUGGUGCCGCCAAAGCUGCCAAAGCUUCUAGCAGCCAGGCGACCAAUUUUGCAGACUGUGUAUCGGUCAAAGUUGUGGCGGUCUUCCAUGUCAUGGGCAAGCCAAUCCUACCGCUGAAACCACUGGAGGGCAUAUCAGGGGAUCUCAGGAGACUGCACGACCAUGUGCUGUCGACUGAGAAAAGCCUUCUAGCCUUGAAGGAUCUAGGAUAUCUGCUAUACACAGUUUGUGUGCCUGAGGGGAAGUGCUACGUUGACACACUGCCCACAGAGGUGUUCUUCCUGUGCUUUGAUUAUAUCUUUGAUAUGUUUCUCACAAGGCGGCUCGAUUUUACAAUCGCCCACCUUUUUGCGCUACAUAUGAACUUUGUCAUCACGGGAGAACAAAUCUCGCAAAUCUGUGUGGCGGAUCCAUACUACAUGCAUGAGUGCUUCUUGAGUCUCGGCGACUUUGAGCGUAAAACUGCUAGGGAGUACAUCGAAAACUUCAUGAUAAGGAAUAAGGACAAGGAAACGGUCCUCCUGCCUUAUCAUCCAAUGUAAGUCAGUGUUGGACAACCCUUUUGUACAUUUCAAUCAUUCCUUCUUGCUCAUAUGGAGAAUCAUUUGAGGUGUUUUUUCCUGCAGCAAUGCGCGCACCGUCCUUAUAGUUCUUUUCUCACGAGUCUCCCAUGCCGUGUAUUUCGACCCUUCCAAAAACUACGAGAAGAAGGACUACACCCACAUAAUGGAUAUUCUAGAUGAUGCUCUACACGGCUUCAGCAUGAGGGGUGGCCACCUCGAGAUCGGGAAACAAAGGAACCGCAAGCCAGGUUUCUUGCAUAAAACUAACUUUUGCGGGAUCCAUCAACCAACAUCAAGCAGAAAUGAUGGAUUCUACCUCCUCCAUCUCAUGAUAGAGUUUGAAAGGGAUCACCAAUAGCUUCGCAUGAGAACCAAAAACGAUGAACAUAUCCGCAAAUGGGCAAAAUCCCUAGGAGAAGAAUCAGAAUCAGAUUAUAAACUUAGAAAUGACUUCUUUCGCAUCCAAAGGGACAUUGCAACGAUCGUCAUGAAAGAAGUCGUCGAGAAGAAUUGGAUGUUCUACCAUGGCCCUAUAUCGCGAGCUAACAUCCUAACUUGCAUAGGCCUACAACGUCAGGACCUAACGCCAUUAAAGAAGCUAGGGUGCAUCCUCGAUGAUCUAGAUGGAUGGAACUUCUAGUAAUGAUUGACGAUGCUGAUGAUGAUGUGUCGGUUGAACUGGUACUUGAUGUAGCGAUCAAACUUUGUGAUGUAAGUGGUGCAUGUCGAACUUGCGUAAUGCUAGUUUGUUAGUUUGAGUACGAUGACCUGCAUAACUCUAGUUAAUUAGUUUGUGUAUGAUGGACCUGCGUUGAUUAAUUAUGUUUACUAUAUGUUGCAUCUAUUUGCUAACACCCUUUAUUUUUGUGUUGCUCAAUUAUAUUAUGUUGCAGAUUUUUGUUGAUUCUCUUCAUGAAGAUGCAUCUCUAACAGGUACAUAGAUCCUUGAUGGCAAAGAAGUGCUAUGUCGUGUACAUAGGGAAGAUUCCAGGAGUGUACGACGAGUGGCCCGAGUGUCAGGCUCAAGUGGAGCGGUUCUCAAGCGCCAGCCAUAAAGGGUUCGAUAGCAGACAAGAAGCAGAAGUUAGUUACUUGAGGUUCACGCUAGCGCGAGAGAGGAAUCAGAACCGCCGCCUCAUGUAUUGCAUAGUUCCGCUCUCACUCAUAGUGAUAGCUCUUCUCUUCUACAUGAUUGUUUAGAUGGACGACGAUGUAUAGUUGCAAGUAUUUGAGGCAUGUCAUAACUUGUAUCGUUAUUUCGAGAUGAUGACAAGAGACAUCAUUUUGUGUUUGAUGAUGAUUAUGAUGGUGACAUGAUUUGAUGAGACUAUUUGUAUGUGUAUGAUAUGAUUAGAUUUGCAUGUGUAUGAUAUGCUAGAGACUAAUGUAUAAAACCUGUACAAAUACAAAAGAAAAUAUGUAGCAGAAAAAAAUUAGAAACUAAUAACAGUAUCGCGGGGUAUGAUUUUAGCAGCAGCGAGAGAUUAGCAGUAGUGCACUUUAAAACAGGGCGCUACAGCUAUUAGCAACAACGCAUUCUUGUAACACAUGCUACUUCUACCUCUAGAUAGCAGUAGCACGGGCCAACACACGCUACUACUAAUUAAAAGUUAGCUGUAGCGUUGUAGCAGUAGUGUGGCCACCCACGCUACCGCUAGGCAUUUGACCCGCGCUACUGCUAGGCUUUUUCCUAGUAGUGUAAGUCGGUGCAAUAGGAGCCAUGUUUGUGUCUACGAAAUUCUAAUAAAACAUUAACGAGAUUGGGUAUUUGAUCUGAGUUGUCCGCUGGCCUAAAUGCACUAACCGUCAUGCGGGACAAUGUAUGAGUUGAAGAGUUACUCUCAUUAGAAGGUGGGCACGGGUAGCUAAUCCACUUUUCCUCCUUUUGUUCUUCGCCCUCCUCAUCAUCUUUUUCAUCUAAUGAGCUCACUGUAUCAUCAAUUUCUUCUUCCAUAGUUUCCUGUAAAAUAUUAGUGUCUUCUUGGACAUCGGAGACUUUCUCAAUAAAACCAUUAAUAUCGGCAUUAUAUUCAUAAUUCUCGUAGCAAUAUUUAAGUAUAGCAUAAUUUUUAGGUCUGUAAACAACAUCAUCAUCAUUUUCACACUUUGCAAACAAAGAUUCAAUUUCGUAAGCACCCUUAAAAGCAACAAAUUCUUCUAUUUGUUCCACAUCAUAGUAAUCAUACAUACCAUUAGCAUAAGAAGCCAAGGUUUCAUUACCACUAAAUUUACAUGAAAAGGGAAGGUGUGGAGCCUUCAUCCUAGAGCAAUAAGUAUAAUCAUAUCUCAAGCAUAAAUUCCAAGAAUACCAAUGCAACAUAUGAAUUUGAUCCCAUAACAGUUUCCCUUUUUGCAUCAAGCAAGAAUCCCUAAAGUAUUCACGUUGAUCCAACGUAUCUCCCAUUAUCAAGUUGAAUGGGGUUUUCUCAGGAUUAUCAUAGUGUUUAAUAUUUUUCACAUAACGAGCAUCGAGGGUUUUAGGAGGUUCCCCAUCUCCAUGAGUAGCAAAUACACCUAAUUUUUUUUGGUAUUUCAUGUUCCAAAUCCAUAACUAAAGAUAGAUAACAACUAAGAACAAGAAAUAAAAUCUACUUAGUGAUAGAGCAAACAAGCACACAUGAGAAUAUUCACCCAACGCUAUUGCUCCCCGGGAACGGCGCCAGAAAAAGGUCUUGUUAACCCACAAGUGUAGGGGAUCAAUUGUAGCCUCUUUCGAUAAGUAAGAGUGUCGAACCCAACGAGGAGCUAAAGGUAGAACAAAUAUUCCCUCAACUUCUAUCGAUCACCGAUACAACUCUACGCACGCUUAACGUCGCUUUACCUAGAACAAGUAUGAAACUAGAAGUACUUUGUAGGUGUUGUAGGAUAGGUUUGCAGGAUAGUAAAGAGCACGUAAAUAAAAACUAGGGUCUAUUUAGAUAAAUAAACAAUUAAGUUAGUAUAUUGAGUGUGAAAAAGUGGUGGUAGGAGUUGCGGAAUUGUCCCUAAGCAAUUGACUACGUUACUAGACCGAUAGCAAGUUUUAUGUGGGAGAGGCCACUGCUAGCAUGUGAUCCCUUACUUGGAAUUCUAUGCACUUAUGAUUGGAACUAUUAGCAAGCAUCCGCAACUACUAACGUUCAUUAAGGUAAAACCCAACCAUGGCAUGAAGAUAUAUUGGUCCCCCUUCAAUCCUGUAUGCAUCAAUUACUAUGCUAGGAUGAAGCUACUGUCACCCUUGCCCUCCAAUACAUAGUCCUAUCAACAUACAACUAACCCUAUGGUGUUAUCCACACGCACGCUCAUAUGAUGGGAACCAAAGAACAGCAACAUAACCACAAGAAAACUGAACCAAUCAUAGCAAUUCACCAAUUACCGAUAGGACAACAAAAAUCUACUCACACAUCAUAGGAUGGCAACACAUGAUUGGAUAAUGAUAUGAAGCAUAAAGAACCAUGUUCAAGUAUAGGGUACAGUGGGUUGCGGGAGAGUGGACUGCUAUAGAUAGAUGGGGGAAGGUGAUGGAGGUGUUGGUGAAGAUGACAGAGUUGUUGGAGUAGAUCGCCGUCACGAUGAUGGCCCCGGCGGCGUUCCGACGCCACCGAGAGAGAGGGGGAGAGAGACCCCCUCCUUCUUCUUCUUCUUCCUUGACCUCCCUCCUAGAUGGGAGGAGGGUUUCCCCUCUGGUCCUUGGCCUCCAUGGCGGCGGAGGGGAAAGAGCCCCUCUGAGAUUGGAUCUCUCUCUAUGUUUCCUUCUGUUUCUGCAUUCCCUGUUUCUGGCCUUUCACUGUUUCUUAAAUUCCCGGAGAUCCAUAACUCUGAUUGGGCUGAAAUUUUAACACAACUUUUAUUCUGAUGUUAUCUUUCUUGCGGCCGAAGAAGGGCACUAGCUGCCUUACAGGGUGACCACAAUCCUCCCAGGCACGCCCAGGGUAGGGGGCGCGCCCCUAGGGCUUGUGGGCCCCUCGGGCAUCGUCUCGUGUUGAUUCUUUUUUCCAAAAACCACAUAUAUUCCAAAAGAAUCUCUGUAAGUUUUUAUCGCGUUUGGACUCCGUUUGAUAUGGAUAUUCUGCGAAACAAAAAACAUGUAACAAACAGGAACUAGCACUGGGCACUGGAUCAAUAUGUUAGUCCCAAAAAUAACAUAAAAAGUUGCCCAAAGUAUAUGAAAGUUGUAGAAUAUUGGCAUGAAACAAUCAAAAAUUAUAGAUACGGCGAAGACGUAUCAAAGUGCCACAAACAACCCUAGAGUUCGUACUAGAAUAACACCAUAUGAUACGCAUCAAUCAAUUCUAAUAUCACCUAGAUACUCCAAUGUCACCACAAGUAUCUGUGAGUUAAUUAUUAGACAUGCAUCAAACAAUUUCAGAUUCAUAACAUUCAAUCCAACACAAAAACUUCAAAGAGUACCCCAAAGUUUCUAUCAGAGAAAGUAGGACGAAAAUGUGUAUCAACCUAUGUGCCUAGAUUACCAAAAUGUCACCACGGGAAUUCGCAAGUUGAUUACCAAAACAUAUAUCAAGUGACUCAAUAGAAUACCCCGAUUAUCACCACGGGUAUCUGAUACGUCUCCAAAGUAUCUAUAUUUUUUUAUUAUUCCAUGUUAUUGUAGUAUCAAUCUUGGAUAUUCAUUAUGCAAUUAUAUAUCAUUUUUGGGACUAACCUAUUAACCUAGUGCCUAGUGCUAGUUGUUGCUUUUUGCUUGUUUUGGCUUUUCAAGAAAUCGGUACCAAACGGAGUCCACGCUAUGAAACUUUUUGACAUUUUUUUCUAGACCAGAAGGGACCCUGGAAGCUUCGGGAGAAGACAUGCGGAGCCACGAGGGAGCGACAAGCCCACAGGGUGCGCCCACCAGGCUUGUGGGCCCCUCGUGGCAUCUCUUCACCUAAUUCCACUUCUAUAAAUUCCCAAAUAUUCCCAGUACAACAAAGAGCCACCCUUGACAAGCCACAAGUUUCUGUUCUUCGGAGAUCCCAUCUGGAGACCUUUUUCGGUACUCUGUCGGAUGGGGAAUAGAUCACGGAGGGCCUCUAGAUCAACCUUGCUGCCCUUCUGAUGAUGUGUGAGUAGUUUACCACGGACCUAUGGGUUCAUAGCUAGUUGCUAGAUGGCUUCUUCUCUCUCUUUGAUCUUCAAUACAAUGUUCUCCUCUAUGUUCUUCGAGAUCUAUUCGAUGUAAUCUUGUUUUGCGAUGUGUUUGUUGGGAUCCGAUGAAUUGUGGAUUUAUGAUCAGAUUAUUCAUGAAUGUUAUUUGAGUCUUUUCUGAAUUCUUAUAUGCAUGAUUGUUAUAUCUUUGUAUUUCCCUCUGAUCUAUCUGCUUGGUUUGGCCAACUAGAUUUAUGUAUCUUGCAAUGGGAGAGGUGCUUUGUGAUGGGUUCGAUCUCGCGGUGCUCAAUCACAGUGACAGAAAGGGGCAUGACACGUAUUUGUAUCGUUGCCAUUAAGGAUAAAAAGAAGGGAUUUAUUCAUAUUGAUUGGGUUUACUUUGUCUACAUCAUGUCCUCUUGCUUAAGGCGUUACUCCGUUCUUUAUGAACUUAAUACUCUAGAUGCAUGCUGGAUAGCGGUCGAUGUGUGGAGGAAUAGUAGUAGAUGCAGGUAGGAGUCGGUCUACUUAUCUCAGACGUGAUAUCUAUAUACAUGAUCAUUGCCUUGAAUAUUGUCAUAACUAUGUGCUUCUCUAUCAAUUGCCCAAUAGUAAUUUGUUUACCCGUCGUACGCUAUGUUCGAGAGAGAAGCCUCUAGUGAAAACUAUGGCCCCCGAGUCUAUCUUUAUCAUAUAUUAAAAUCCAAAAAUACCUUGCUGCAAUUUAUUUACCGUUAUAUUAUUUUGUGUUUUUGUUUAUCUAUCUACCAUUAUCAGACUUGAUCCUUGCAAGUAACUGUCGAGGGGAUUGACAACCCCCUUGAUCACGUUGGGUGCAAGUAUUUGUUCUUUUGUGUGUAGGUGUUGUUCACGAGGUCUUGCGUGGUUAUCCUAUUGGAUCGAUAACCUUGGUUCUUAACUAAGGGAAAUACUUAUCUCUACUUUACUGUGUCAUCCUCUCCUCUUCGAGGAAAUACCAACAUAGCUCACAACUAGCAGUAUCCACAUGCAAGACAUACAUCAAAGUGAUCUCAAAUCCAUUAUUAAAUCUGAUAAUAACGGAAUCUCAAAGGAAAAGACUCAAUUCAUCACAACAAGAUAGAGAGGGAAGAACACCAUAUGAUCCAACUAUAUUAACAAAGCUCGUGGUACAUCAAGAUCGUGCCAAAUCAAGAACAUGAGAGGGAGAGAGAGAUCAAACACAUAGCUACUGGUACAUGCCCUCAACCUCGAGGGUGAACUGCUCAUCAUGGAGAUCACCGGGAUGAUGAAGAUGGCCUCCGGUGAUGAUUCCCCCCUCCGGUAGGGUGCCAGAAAAGGCUCCAAAUGAGAUCGCCUCGGUACAGAGAAUUGCUGCACCGACGUGAAAUUUAUAGGUUUAUUCUGAAGAUUUCCCAAUUUAUAAGAAUUUUUGGCAUGGUUUCACGUUAGGGGGGUCCCGUGGGACCCAUGAUCUCAGAGUACACUCCCUACCUCUCAGGGCGCAUGGGGUGAGCUCGUGACUCCCUCGUCUAUGUUUUGAUCCUUCCUCGAAGCUUCGGGGGUCUCUUAUGUUCCAAAAAAAUGACCGUAAAUUUUUGUGGCAUUUGGACUUUGUUUGGUAUGAAUUUUCUACGAAACAGAAAAUAGCCAAAAAAAACAUAAACUAGCACUUGGCACUAGGUCAAUAGGUUAGUUCCCACUAAUCAUCCAUGGCAGCGCCGGUCACUAGCUCACUUAGAUCACGGGUUAGUGAAAUUUAUGAUAUGAGUGAGGGCUGAGAGUGAGCGGGAUGGGGGUUGUUCUAUUCGGUUAUGGUUGUCUGAGUGGAAUAAUUUCUAUAAUUUAGAGAACAUGGCAAAUUGCAUUUCAUUAGAGAUGGCUUUGCAGCAAAUUGCAUGAGCGAGUGGUUCAUAUAUUAUUUUGCCAAGUCAUACAACUUUUUGGUUAGGAUAGAAGGGUCAUCAUUCGUCGGUUGCUUCAAGAGUUAAUAACGGACGCCGUGGCAUAUCAGUUGCAUGCCAACAAGGAACAUUUUAUAUUUUGUUUCAUGGUAAUGCACGACAUUCAACUGUAUGUUACAACGUGGAAAUGGUGACGGAGACAUCGGAUUUGUCUUCUUGGCUCGGGGGGUGUCAUGGGCGGCACAUGCCUCAUCUCCUUUUAUGGCGGUGACGGAUCGUUACGAACAUGGGGGUAGGGGAUCAGGGCGGAGAACGGGACGGUUGGUGGGGGACUCCUUGGCAGUCUGUGGGGAGGUACGGUGUAAAAGAGAGAGGGCACCAUGAUGAAGGUGAGGUGGGCAUCAUCCAACUUUAAAGGAGAGGGCUCCAGCGAUAAAUGUCUCGCUCCGAUAGAAAACCAAGUGGGAAGGGGAGGGUCCGGCAGGAAAAAGGAAUGGUGCAUUGUGGGGUGGUUUUUUUGUGUUCGGGCCACGUGUUGAAGAUGAUAUGGCGGAUAGUCCGGACAAACACAUUUCCACCCCACAUAUGGGAUGGAUUCGGAAGUCUGGACUGUCCAGACGGUUCGAUUUGGAGCCCGCUGGGUGCCCCUUUGAUGUCCGAAUAUGUCCAGACAUAUGAGGAAGAAAUGAGCUUUGACUUUGAAGACGACCUUAAUCAUUUAUUUGAUUUAUCUAUAUGCAUUUUAGCCCGUAGUAACGCACGGGAGUUCUACUAGUAUUAUUAAAACAAAGCUCUAAUGAUCAGGUGUGUUAAGUUUAUUUUUUUUUCAAAACUCUUCCUAAUAAUAUUGAAAUCACCACCUAUCACACAUGGUAAAGUGCUUCUCUGAUAAAUCUUAGAAAGUUCAGCUAAAACCCAAUUUUUCUCUCAGGUUGAUCAGCCCCAUAAACAGUAAUUGAAUUCCAGGCUAGAUCUAUUUUUUUCAUACACUAACACUAACAAAAUAAUACACAUGUUCAGAAUCCAAAACCUCCAAAGAAUCAUUAUUAGCUGUCACCAGAAUACCUCCAGACUUCCCUCUAGAAGGAGCCCAAUGCCAUUUAAAGUUUUUUUCCUCCACAAAAGGAGUGCAAUUCCUUAUUAGAUAAGUGGUCCUUCAUGGUAUCAUGAAUUCCCACGAAGUCUAAAGAGUAAUACACUACACUCUCUUAUAAAUCUUUUUCUAAUCUCCCAACCAAUAUAUCCAACAUUCAAAAUAAACCUUUCAUUAGGAGUUUUUAUGUUUUUAUAUUCUUGAUAGCAUACCUAUUUACAGGUAUGCCUUCUUUUAGCCUAACAAUUGCGGGCAAAAAGGUCCCUAUUUUUCUUAGAGGGAAAACUUGUUUCAGUUCUCUAAGUAUAUUUUUCUCCAACUCAAUGACGGGGUUAUCUCUGUCAGAACAUAACUCAUUCAAGUCAACAUCUCUAGUAGUGAUAUCAUGACUAGAAAGCAUAUCUAAUCUAGCCAUCUCGAAUUUCCUCAUAAUCUCUAGGUUAUGUCCAAUCAAAUCCAUAGUACAUCCAUUGCAAUAAGACAUAGUCAAAAGGGAGGGGUUAUUAAGUCUAAAAGAUCAAGAAAAGAUUCAUUGCCAUAAUUAUAUUUUGAUGUUGCCCUCUCUUUAGCCAUGUCCUCCACUCUAACAUCUUCCCUGUCUAUGAGCCUAGGGGCCAUCCUCACCAUUCUCCUCCACUUGACCAUGGCACUAUUGGACCACGGUGGUCAAUAAUGCCUGUAAUUUUCUUUAUUACGGUUCCAAAGGACUCCUAUGAAGAUACAAUAUCGGUCUGACUAGCAUUGUAAUCAACAUGUUCCAAAUAGUUAUCUCUUGUGUCACCAAUCUUUUCCUCCAUACAAUUUUCUAGUUCAUCCUCUCCUUCUUCCCUAGGAGGCACAUCACCUUUAUUUUUAUUAGCUUCAUUCUUGUCUAAGACCUAUUGUAGUAAUUUCUGCAAGUGCUUGUUCUGCUUCUCAAGUUCCACUUGUAGCUUACUUUUUUCAACUUCAUCGUCUCCCAUUAUUUUUCCAUCCAUAGCAAUUUGAACAGCUUGUCUAGCUUUCUCUUCCUCCACCUAUUUCUUUCUAGCAGUUAACUCUACUCAUCCACUAAACCAUCAGUUGAGGGGUCUGUCACUAGCCACUUUUCAUGCUUCUACAUUAUUUUUGUCAACAUUCAAAGCCUCAUAAGCCAAAGAAAGACUUCCCAAUUUGAUAAUCUCCUUCUUAGCUUCUGACCCUUUAUUUUUCUUAGGCAAUCUUCUCUCAUCGGUAUCAUCUUCUUUAGGGUUAUGCAGUAGACUAUCAUCUCCACCUCUCUUUCCAGGCCUAGAAAACCAACCCUGCUCCGCCACUAUCUCAACCUCAAAGGUCAUUCUAGAAACCCAAAGCUCUCUUGUAGUUAUUUCAGUAGAACCAUGAAUCUUCUUCGGGUCUCUCAUCCCAAGUUUCACCCUAACAAAUUCACUACCAAUUGAAUCCGUAUCAUUCUCAAUCACCGUUCCAAAGAGAGGUCCCCAAUUCACACAUUCAACCACUUGAUAUUCAGCUGGAGUUACAUGUCUAUAUGGGGAGCUUAUAUAGUGUCGUGUACCUGACAAAUGAUCAAGGCCAUCCUUAAAAAAAGGAGGUGUGUGGGUAGAGAGCUGGGUCAUUUGUGUCCUUUGAAGACCUCUAAUUGGGCUUGGAGGUGUGUUGUAGUCCAUUAAUGAGGGCAUUUCCUAUACUGCGUGUUAAGCACCUGUAUUUUGCAACUUGGCGUACACCCCCUCCACUCUAGGCCGACACAUCUACUCCUUUUUUUUCUUCUGUUUUUAACCCCCAAAAAGGGCGCUAGGUAUGAUUCGAACCCACGACCUCCGCGCCUAGUUUAGCUAUGGUAGUCAACCAAACACCCACUAUGAUGUGAUUAGUUACAUCUUUUUUACUCUUUCUUCUUUCUUUUGCUUUUCUGUUCCUUAUUUCUUUUCUUUUUUUCAAAAUGCGUGAACUUUUUUUAUCAAAAUCAAUGACCUUUUCUCAAAUCUAUGAACUUUUUCCAAAAUCAAAUUUCCUGAUACUUUUUUUAAAUUGGUAAUUUUUAAAUUAGUAAGCUAUUUUUAAAAAUCCAUAAACUUUUUUUCAAAUUCGAUGAACAUUUUUCCAAAUUAAAUGAACUGUUUUUUUUUCAAAAUCGAUUAACUUUUUCCCCAAAUUCGUGACAUUUUUUAAGUUUGUGAGCUUUUUUAAAAUCAGUGAACAUUUUCGAAUUCACAAAAUUUUUGGAUUUUUUUGUGCUUUAUAUUUUCGCAUUAUUUCCAAAGGUCAAUGGUUGACUGAUGAAAUGCCCAUUUGAUUAUGUGCGUGGGUACCAAGAAGCUCAACCAGCGCCUAAGGUGCCCAAUAGGAGGUUCCAUUAAUGUGGAUAUCCCCACAUACUAUUUGAAGGCCUCCUUGCUUGGAGUUGGGCCUCAUGUUUGCCACAAUUUUUUUUAGAAUUGUUUUUCAAUUUUUUCAUAUUUUACUGUUCAUGCUGAGACCAUAAGAGCUCAAACUUAGACGGGGACUUUCCAACAGUUUUGUCAUCAAUGCUAAUGACAUGCACAUAUAGGUGAUGUUGGCAAAAGCAUAAGAGGAGCGAAGUGGCUUGGUCAGAACUCAUGUUUUUUUGAAAAUUAGGGAUAAAACUGCUGAGUCAGACACAACUAAGGGCAUAAAACUAAUUAUUUCUUUUAUUUUGGACCCUAGUAAGUGUCACACAUGUGGCAUGAAUACAUGGCAACUCCGAACAAUUUUUAUAUUUGAAUGGUAACUUUUAAGUCUAACCUUCAAUUAGGUACUCCCGCGCUAUCAGGCAUGAACACGACAAUUAAAUUGUACGAAUGAAGUUGGCACAAACGCAUGACAACUCCGAACGUUUUAGGACCCUGAUAAUGCUUUAUACCGUGACCCUUGUUUGGCACAAGUUCUGUAUAGAUUAAAUUGUACGAAUGAAGCUUGCAACUUACUAGAAUAUGCAAAUGAUCAAUGAAAACAAGCGAUCUGCUACUAGUGAUGAGUUAGACCUGGCAAAUUGUGAACCGAUUUCCUUUACCUGUGAUAGGCAACAUUGCUAGAGUGCUAAUCACUGUGUAAACUAACAUAAACAUUACAGAGGGAGUGCAUUUGUUAGCCACAUAAGAGAAUUCAACGCAACCAAGACGACGGAAAACUCUGUCCUUUAUACUGGUGUAAUUUACAUCUCUGACGCUAAGAGAGAGAGCUCAACUUGCUACAUAUGUACAACCUCAGAAACUUUGUUUCCGAGAGAAAGAAUAUAGCUACCAACAAAGAGCAAAAACGCAGCAACUGUAGCUUGCCAAUACUUGCUUUAUCUACAGAAACAAUUGAUCGGGACACGGAACCUUUUGGCUAAAACAGCAGCCCUAGCUCUGUGCAAUGACAGAAAAUUUAUC
rnacentral:lncRNA from 1 species